AUUGAACGCUGGCGGCAGGCCUAACACAUGCAAGUCGAGCGAGCGGCGGACGGGUGAGUAAUUUCUGGGAAACCGCCUGAUGGAUGGGGCUAACUACUGGUAACGGUAGCUAAUACCGCAUACCAUCAGAUGUGCCCAGAUGGGCUUUGCUAGUGGGUGGGGUAACGGGUCACCUAGGCGACGAUCACUAGCUGGUCUGGGAGGAUGACCAGCAAAACUGGAACGGAGAAACGGUCCAGACUCCAACGGGAGGCAGCAGUGGGGAAUAUUGCACAAUGGGCGCAAGCCUGAUGCAGCCAUGCCGCGUGUGUGAAGAAGGCCUUCGGGUUGUAAAGCAAUUUCAGCGGGGAGGCGGUACCCGAAGAAGAAGCACCGGCUAACUCCGUGCCAGCAGCCGCGGUAAUAC
rnacentral:rRNA from 1 species